GUGCUGGCUUCAGCAGCACAUAUACUAAAGUGAAACGAUACAGAGAAGACAGCAUGGCCCCUGAGCAAGGAUGACAUUCAAAUUCAUGAAGCGUUCUAUAUUUAA
rnacentral:snRNA from 1 species